AAUUGACGGGGGCCCGCACAAGCAGUGGAGUAUGUGGUUUAAUUCGAAGCAACGCGAAGAACCUUACCAGGACUUGACAUACCGAUGACCGGUCUGGAACAGGCUUUCCCUUCGGGGACAUCGGAUACAGGUGGUGCAUGGUUGUCGUCAGCUCGUGUCGUGAGAUGUUGGGUUAAGUCCCUCAACGAGCGCAACCCCUAUUGUUAGUUGCCAUCAUUAAGUUGGGCACUCUAGCGAGACCGCCGGUGAUAAACCGGAGGAAGGCGGGGAUGAUGUCAAAUCAUCAUGCCCCUUAUGUUCUGGGCUACACACGUGCUACAAUGGCCGGUACAAAGAGUUGCGAAACUGUGAAGUUAAGCUAAUCUCAUAAAGCCGGUCUCAGUUCGGAUUGUAGUCUGCAACUCGACUACAUGAAGUCGGAAUCGCUAGUAAUCGCGAAUCAGAAUGUCGCGGUGAAUACGUUCUCGAGUCUU
rnacentral:rRNA from 1 species